UACGUAGGGGGCAAGCGUUGUCCGGAUUUAUUGGGCGUAAAGAGCGUGUAGGCGGCCGUACAGGUCAGCUGUGAAAACUCGAGGCUCAACCUCGAGACGUCGGUUGAAACCGUACGGCUAGAGUCCGGAAGAGGAGAGUGGAAUUCCCGGUGUAGCGGUGAAAUGCGCAGAUAUCGGGAAGAACACCCUUGGGGAAGGCGGCUCUCUGGGACGGUACUGACGCUGAGACGCGAAAGCGUGGGGAGCGAACAGG
rnacentral:rRNA from 1 species